UACGGGAGUGGCAAGCGUUAUCCGGAAUUAUUGGGCGUAAAGCGUCCGCAGGCGGCCUCGUAAGUCUGUCGUUAAAGCGUGGAGCUUAACUCCAUUAAGGCGAUGGAAACUGUGAGGCUUGAGUGUGGUAGGGGCAGAGGGAAUUCCCGGUGUAGCGGUGAAAUGCGUAGAUAUCGGGAAGAACACCAGUGGCGAAGGCGCUCUGCUGGGCCAUAACUGACGCUCAUGGACGAAAGCCAGGGGAGCGAAAGGGAUUAGAUACCCCUGUAGUCCUGGCCGUAAACGAUGAACACUAGGUGUCGGGGGAAUCGACCCCCUCGGUGUCGUAGCCAACGCGUUAAGUGUUCCGCCUGGGGAGUACGCACGCAAGUGUGAA
rnacentral:rRNA from 1 species